AUAUAAACCACAAAAAUAGUAUAAAGCCAAACAGAAGCCCCAGUUCCCAUUUCUGAUCUGAAGGCAUUUGAAGGGGCUAGGCCAAGUUUUACCUGCUUUACGGUAUUUGUUUUGCUGAAUUAUCGCAGCACUGGAACAGGAACCAUUCUCGUUUUACAGAUGAGAAGACCAAGGCACAGAGAUGAGUGUUCCUGAGCUCACACAGUGAUUCCCCCCUUGGCGGAAGCAGAUUUCAAACUCAGGCUGUUGAACCCCCGCACUGGGCUCUUAAAUCACUUGACUUCUUUGACCUGCUGUUUCCUCCUCAGCAAAAUCAGCCUGAUGGGGAAAACACAUGAAGUGUGCCUCAGAGCCGGGCUGGAAGAGAUGCCUACGAGCGAGAUGUGUUGUUUUCACACAACAAAAAGCUAUACAGCAACGAAAAGGGACAAAUUGCAGCUACAGGUGCAGCAGCGGAGGAAGCGUGACUCCCGUGCAUGGUGAAGACAGCAAGAGCCUGCAAAUACGGAGUCCUGUGAUGCAAACCACGAGUGCCCCUGAGCUAUGGUAGGCACACUCCAAAUCGCAAAUCCGCAAGGCAUUGCACAUCUGGAUGGAGCACGAGCCUUGGAAAAAUUGUGCCUCUUGGUAUCCAUGGUGUCUGAAGCAAAGCAAAACAGUAUGUGAAGGGUAGGAUAUGGAAACACGGUGGCUGGAGCCCCUCGUUAAGGGGUGUCGAAUGUCACUGACAGCCGCUGCCCUUCUACUGCAUGAAGUGCGUCCCGUGUAUGUUGUUGAUUCAGUGGCCUGAGAUGAACAUAGCCGCCGAGUGUUCUCACCUGGUGUGGUGCUGGCCCUGUGACUUACCUAACUACGGGAUGUGGCGGAGGUGAUGCUGUGCCAGCUCUGAGGCAAAGUCUUGAGGAAGCCUGACAGUUUCUGGGUUUUCACUGAUGGAAGCUCUUUGUGCCUGGCCACUCUGCUGGAGUGAUCACAUUGGUGACUGCGUGGAGAGACAGCCAGACGAGGACUGACCAGGAGGCCCAGCCUACGCGGAGAAGCAAGGCCUCAGCUUGCAGCUGAGUGAGGCUACCCAGGUGGCUCCCAGCAAGACCAGCCAAGGGACUGCCCCAGAGAACCCGGCCAAGGUGGAAGAACCAGGAGCAAAUAAAACGGCAGACCUUCCCAGCACCUCCUUCCCAGCAGAAACCACGUUUGGUGGAGACCAUACCCUCUGGUGGCAUCUACCCUUCUUCUCUGUGGGAUCACAAGCAGUGUAUAACUUGAGGAAGAUGCCUCGGUCCCAGGACAGAGAAUCACUGUUCCUCCCUCGCAGGGUAGGAGGAAGGGGGCUGGCGUGAGGAUCACAGAAGCCAAGGUGGGAAGAGCAGGAACAUGUCCCUGAGCUCCCUGGACACCGGUCGUCCUCACACCAACCCUUGAGGCAGGUGCUAUUACUGUCCCCAUUUGCCAGUGAGGGUCCUGAGGCCCUGGGGGGGUCUAGUGCCUAAGGUUGCAAAGCACAUCUGAGGCAGAGCCGGGAUUGCAGCUUCCUGCCUGGUGGUCUAGGCGGUGGCUUUUCUCUCUUCCUUCCUCCAAGCAUGAACUGAACCAGUUCCUGGAGGGGCUAUCAGCACAGGCAUACUCCCCUUCCUCUCUGUCUUCUGCCUGGCCCAAACCCUACCACAAUUUCCCUGCCUUCCCCAGAUAGGUCACUCAGUGAGCUAGGGAUGCUGAGUGAGGCUUCUGGACACCCCUCCAGCCCCCACCCCGUUUCUGGGCAUGGACCCCUCCUCCUAUAGGCUGCUCAAAGGGACCCAGUCCUUCCUCAGACCCUCUCUCUGCACCCUGACUCCCUCUCCUCAGUGUAAACACCAUUGCCUUGUGGCUGGAUGACCUCAGUCCCAGAGAUCAGCCCCUGGGUUGGUCAGGCUGGAGACCCAACCACCACCACCAAGGGGCAGGAAGCAGUAAGAAUGGUGACCACUCCCCAGAAUCACCUUUUCCCUGAUCAGUUCACAACUCCCCUUCUCCAGACACCUGUUCAUUCUUAUCUCCUCCUCCCUCCAUACUGAUAUGCUGCCCAAAUUGUGGGGUUGGGGUACCCUAGGAAUAAGUAUGGAAUCAUGGUUUUGCUUUUAUUUGUCACCUCGAGCAAAUGAUACUACCUCUUAGGAACCCCAUUUUCUGUAUUUGUGAGACAGGUACUUAUCCAUUCAUUCACAUCCACCCAUUCAUCCAUCCAUCCACCCGCUCACCCACCCAUCUACCCAACUACCCAUCCAUCCAUCCAUUCAUCCAUCCAUUGAUAUGUAUGGAAUGCCAGGUCCUGGUACAGGUUGUGGAGUACUAAAUGACUGCAUGAAGUAUAGAUUUGUUAUCAUUUAGCCCCUAUUUCCAUAAUUAACCAUAUUUCUGAACAUCAGAGACCUUGAUUUCCAAUGAGCACAGUAAGCAUAGAAAGGCAAAGCUUAGGCCAAUAUGUAUACUCACUUAGCAUCAUGCAGACUGUCAGUGGUGGCCACCCACCCAAGCCCAUGAUAACCCACCAGCACCACACUGAGGGUAUCAGAGGACUGGCUGUUGGGACAUUGCUGCCACCACCCGACACAGGCCAUCAAGACCAUCAGGACCAUCAGCACGGCCCCUACAACCCAGGCAGGCCAGCCUCACAACCUUAUACCACCAUGGCACGUCUGUCUUUGUGGAGGUAUGGUUGUAAAACGGGGUGACCUAAAAAAACUCGUUUUUGAAAGGCUAUUUUGAAGCUUCCAAUAUUUAGGCUCUUGCACAAACUAUCUUCUAUCAUGUAAAUCUCAAAGUUGUCUUUAGGGUAGGGAGUAGAGCUGAGAGGCCCCUUGGCUGGGCUGUGGGCAAGUCUGACGAGGCUUCCAGGAGAAGGAGGCAUUUAGGAUCCUGCUUGCCAGUCUAGAGGGGACUUGUAUAGGGAUGAUGUCCAAGCCAGAGAGAGGAGCAGAAGGUGGACAGAGCUGGGGACAAGUCCAGAGCAUACUCUACACGGAGGCCUAUGGCCUUCCCAGAGCCUGCUUGACAUACAGCCAGGCUGAGAAACACAACCACGGGGAGGGAGGUGGGACACAACUAGGAGAUGGGGCCCAGGGGCAUAGUCCCUGGGCCUGCUGGG